AUGCUACACCAGCUAACCCUGACAUCAACUUCACUUAGAGCACAUGACACGGAUGAUACAAGUUUUACUGGUCUUUCCAGUGGCAGCAAAGGCAGUAACAAGUUUUCCCACCAUCUGGUAGACAUACAUGGGUCUAUGCCAGGAACCUCUGCUAUUAGUGCUGCAAGGUCCUUCAGAUGUAAUAAAAAAAGGGAGGGGGGUCCCUGGCCUGGAUUGCUUCUAAAAAUCCCUUUUAGCUCUGAAUCAAUGAACCUAUGAUCACAGAAGGUGAGAAUUUCUGACCAAUGGAAUUAAGGAACCAUCAAGGGCUGCAUUUAAAAAGUCUUAUUAGAAGAAGUCAUAAAUGUAGAGCAUAUAUUAAUGUGAUCUAAUUAAAGGUAUCUGAUGAAAGGGUUAGGACAUAAGCUCAUACUUCAUGAAGGAUAAACAUACAGUAUAACUCAUAUCUAGAUUGAUCAGGACUGAGUACGAUCAAUCCACAUAGCAAGUGGUCCAAAGAAAUGUCUUGGGCCUUUCCUGGGAGAAUGGUUUUUCCAUGGAAAUUUAUUUAAGUACAGAAAUAAUUCUAUCCAUUUUCAUGGGGGGGAAAACUCCAAAACUUGGGAGGCUCAAGAAGUAAUAGGAAAACAACUAUUUUUAAUUAGUGAUUUUUUUCAUGGAGACAGACACUAGCUUACAAAUGUUACUCCUAUUGGCGGUCUGCUUAUUCCUGUGACAGUGGGUAUCACUUGAAUAGGAAGCAUCAAUUAUUUCCAGUCACUUUCAACUUUCACAAGUAGAAAGUUUAUCUUCUCGUAGACAAAGGUUUUCUUUCCCUUGACUUCCGUAAUGAUAAUUGUAAUGAAGGAGCAAUUAGCUUAGUUAAGAAUAGAGUGUAGUCAGACAUAAGGUUUAUAGAAGGGAUCUGAGAUUUCCUGGGGUACUUGAUGAUUUGCCAUGGAACCCUGACAAGGUCGGAGAUAGGGAAUUUUUGGAGAGUGUCUUAGGAGCAUCAGAUGAGAAACCAUCACCCCACUUCUGGGACAGAGACCAGAAGGUUGGUUGUUCCUGGCUUCCUUUUGG
rnacentral:lncRNA from 1 species